UGCGGGACAAACAUCCGCGGUGCAUAGAUAGAGCCCCCACGCUGUGAGGGGUUGCAACAACCCAGGUCCUCAGGGACCAGCCAGCGAAGGGGCCCUGCCCUUAACCUCGGGCUGACUGGCGAUGGACAGAGCCCUGUCAACCCUUGCAGGUAGAGGAAGUAAGAGAAUUGUUAGGGCUGUCAUGGAAGUUCUCUGGUUGUCAUACGGUGACUUGACCUGAGAGGUAAGGAACCUGAACUUGUCCCUUUUUCUCUGUGCACUCUCAGGUGCAUCAGGAAUCGUCCCACAGCCACAGUCUUUGUAGCCAUCCUUACCACCUUGACAGUCCAGGGCAGCAGCUGCUCCGCCUCCCCGAGGUGCUUGCUGCGGUUGGCCCCUCAUCCCGGGUAACCGCCGCAGGUAAGGGCCUGACGAAAUACUAGGUCCCUGCCGGCCACGGGUGCCUCCGGUCCCCCUUCCCGUUGGCGAGGAGCUGAGCCCUGCACUCCAGCCCAAGGGCGAGACCAGACCGGUCCCCACAUUCCAUCUUUUUGGGUCCAUCCUCUGGGACCGCUCCCAGUUCCAGGAGCCCCGGCGGUACUACCACGAGGAGGUGGGGGGGAGUGGGGGGGCAGUUCCUCUGUCAGCCAGGGGUUCGCUGAAGCCCCUCAGCUUGCAGCCAGGAGAAGGCAGCCCCUGUUCGUGGAUACUAGGACUGGAGUGGGAGGGUUCUUCCCCCGCUCACUCAGACCCACUUCUUUUUAUAUCCCUGUCCUUCCUUUGCCCCGCCGAGGUGACCCUUCCAGAACACUGGUUUUAGGCGGGAUCUCAGUUCUGCCCUCUCAGCUUCUGAAAGCCCUUACUCCUCCUCGCACCGCACCCUGGAAACCCAACCCGCACCACACCGUGGAAACCCAACCCGGCAGCUCCUCCACACAGUCCCUGCCGCGUCCCUGCUCCCUCGUCUGUUUUCAUUUCCUCUGCUUCCUAGGGGAUUUCUCCUGCUUACCUGCAGGCCCCCUAUGCAUUUAAACAAUGUAUCUAACCUUUUCUCGUUACAUAUUUCCUUGUCUUUCUCUCCAAGUGGACUGGCAUCCCUGGACGGCAGCAGUUGGGUGUCAGAGUGGCACCGCCCCCAACCCCACCCUCCCCCCACCCCCGGACCUGGCCAGGCUGCACUGGAUCCUGUGGCCAACUGUCCAGGGCCACAGGGAUUGGACCAGCGGGUCAACCUGCCAGCCCGAGAGAGAGCCAGCGAGAGAGGGAACACAAGCAGGGAGAGUGGGAGAGAAAG